GUUUUACAACUUCUUCGCAAGGAAUUUAUUGCAUUAAUUUUCUCAUUAUGAUGAAAUGGCUCAUUUUAAGAUUCAAUAAUAGAAGAACAGAAAGAGAGAAAGGUCUAAUGAACCAAAAUGAAGGAAACGAGGCAAUAACAGAAAUGGU